CCCUGUUGCUGAAGAUAAGGAGGCCUCUGGGACAGGGCUGGAGAUCGUCCUUAUAGAGGACCCAAUUCCAGAGGUUUCUACCCGAGAUGCUCCUGCCCCUGUGAGGACUGAACCUGAGGGUUCUGAGGACAUUCCAUCAAAGACCGGGGACAAGCGUCCAGCCCCCCCUGGAAUAUCUGCCCCAUCUCCUGCUCGGAAGAAAUCCAGGGCUGCCGCAGGAUCUUCUCCAGCUCUUCCUUCCAUUGGGAAGGGGAAAAGUGUUCCUGUCGAGCCUUUGUUGUCUUCUUCUGACAACUUUCUGAACGCGUCGGAU
rnacentral:lncRNA from 1 species